UGUCCAGUGAGGCUUUACACAGAUGGAGUUUUAGGUGGGUAAGUAAGUGAGGAUAUCCAUGUUGGUGGCA